AUUGAACGCUGGCGGCAGGCUUAACACAUGCAAGUCGAGCGGGGAAAUGUAGCUUGCUACAUUACCUAGCGGCGGACGGGUGAGUAAUGCUUAGGAAUCUGCCUAUUAGUGGGGGACAACAUCUCGAAAGGGAUGCUAAUACCGCAUACGUCCUACGGGAGAAAGCAGGGGACCUUCGGGCCUUGCGCUAAUAGAUGAGCCUAAGUCGGAUUAGCUAGUUGGUGGGGUAAAGGCCUACCAAGGCGACGAUCUGUAGCGGGUCUGAGAGGAUGAUCCGCCACACUGGGACUGAGACACGGCCCAGACUCCUACGGGAGGCAGCAGUGGGGAAUAUUGGACAAUGGGGGGAACCCUGAUCCAGCCAUGCCGCGUGUGUGAAGAAGGCCUUUUGGUUGUAAAGCACUUUAAGCGAGGAGGAGGCUACCGAGAUUAAUACUCUUGGAUAGUGGACGUUACUCGCAGAAUAAGCACCGGCUAACUCUGUGCCAGCCGCCGCCGUAA
rnacentral:rRNA from 1 species